CAGUCGCCGCGGUAAGACGAACCGUGCGAACGUUAUUCGGAAUUACUGGGCUUAAAGCGCGUGUAGGCGGGUCGGCACGUCGGUCGCUGAAAUCCCCCGGCUCAACCGGGGAAGUGGCGCCGAUACGGCCGGCCUGGAGGGGGGUAGGGGGGUCUGGAACUUCCGGUGGAGCGGUGAAAUGCGUUGAGAUCGGAAGGAACGCCCGUGGCGAAAGCGAGACCCUGGACCCUUACUGACGCUGAGACGCGAAAGCCAGGGGAGCGAACGGGAUUAGAGACCCGUGUAGUCCCUGUCUCUUAUA
rnacentral:rRNA from 1 species